UACGUAGGUGGCAAGCGUUGUCCGGAUUUAUUGGGUUUAAAGGGUGCGUAGGUGGCCUAUUAAGUCAGUGCUGAAAUAUCCCGGCUUAACCGGGAGGGUGGCAUUGAUACUGAUGGGCUUGAGUAAAGUUGAGGUAGGCGGAAUUGACGGUGUAGCGGUGAAAUGCUUAGAUAUCGUCAAGAACACCGAUUGCGAAGGCAGCUUACUAAGCUUUAACUGACACUGAGGCACGAAAGUGUGGGGAUCAAACAGG
rnacentral:rRNA from 1 species